rnacentral:tRNA from 1 species
GCCCUUUUAGCUCAGUGGUUAGAGCACUGGUCUUGUAAACCAGGGGUCGAUAGUUCAAUUCUGUCAAGGGGCA